UGCAAGUCGAGGGGUAUUUAUCUUCGGAUAGAGAGACCGGCGCACGGGUGCGUAACGCGUAUGCAAUCUACCUUUCACAGAGGGAUAGCCCAGAGAAAUUUGGAUUAAUACCUCAUAGUAUGCAGAGUUGGCAUCAACACUGCAUUAAAGUCACAACGGUGAAAGAUGAGCAUGCGUCCCAUUAGCUAGAUGGUAAGGUAACGGCUUACCAUGGCUACGAUGGGUAGGGGUCCUGAGAGGGAGAUCCUCCACACUGGUACUGAGACACGGACCAGACUCCUACGGGAGGCAGCAGUGAGGAAUAUUGGACAAUGGGCGCAAGCCUGAUCCAGCCAUGCCGCGUGCAGGAUGACGGUCCUAUGGAUUGUAAACUGCUUUUGCACAGGAAGAAACAACUCUACGUGUAGAGUCUUGACGGUACUGUGAGAAUAAGGAUCGGCUAACUCCGUGCCAGCAGCCGCGGUAAUACGGAGGAUCCAAGCGUUAUCCGGAAUCAUUGGGUUUUAAAGGGUCCGUAGGCGGUUUAGUAAGUCAGUGGAGAAAGCCCAUCGCUCAACGGU
rnacentral:rRNA from 1 species